UCAAUUGUGCGAAAACUCUACCAUUUUUUCUGCUAUCAAUGUUUAUGAGCAUAAAAUAUGCCCAUUCCGGGUAAAUAUUUUUAGAUAAGUGUGAAGGAGUAAUAAAAAUUCCCUGAAUCAUUUCUCUCCUUGCGGUGGGACGUUGACAAACGAGCGAAUUAUACGGACACUUCACUAUGCAUUUGGAGAAGAUCUUGGAAUCGUAAACAGCGUGAUUUUAUUACAACACCAUGAAUUUUUAAAAGUACAAAUGCAUUAAAAUCUGAAAUCUUAGUCAGUCUUCUAACAUAA